GACGAACCGUGCGAACGUUGUUCGGAAUCACUUGGCUUAAAGGGCGCGUAGGCGGGCCGGCAAGUCAGGGGUGAAAGCCCGCGGCUCAACCGCGGAAGUGCCUUUGAUACUGCCGGGCUGGAGGGAGGUAGGGGCGUGCGGAACUUUCGGUGGAGCGGUGAAAUGCGUAGAUAUCGGAAGGAACACCGGUGGCGAAAGGGGCGCGCUGGACCUCUUCUGACGCUGAGGCGCGCAAGCCAGGGGAGCAAACGGG
rnacentral:rRNA from 1 species